rnacentral:lncRNA from 1 species
UGCCACAGUAGUGACCUGAGCCAUAACAGUGACAGUGCCAGAUCAUUAACCUGCUCUGCCACCAGGGAACACAUAACUAUCUAAGUUUUAAAUAUUUUUAAAUGACUGGGAACUUUUUUCCCCUGAGUUGUGUUCAGAAACCUAAAUACUAGUUUUAGCUGUACCAUCUACUUCAUAUUAUUCAGAUUCUCUGAACCUCAGUCCCCUCAUCUCUGAAAUAGAAAGUUCCAUUUGUCCAUCUCAAACUUGACUAUACAGAAUCUCCUUCACUAUUGUUAGUUUUGUGAGAUGGUACCUAGCCUGAAUUUUGUAUCUUAAAAGUUCCUUAUCAGUCAGAGGUUUGUACUAAAAUAUUCAUGGCUAAAAGUAUGUCAUCCCUCAGAUUUUUCUUUCAAAUAAUCUAGCAAAACCAAUUGUGUGAUAAUGAUGGAUUACACAAGACUGGUAAAUUGUCAACAACUGGCAAAUAUAAAUAAGUGAUCCAUUAUAUGAUUCUCUCAACUUUGGUGUAUGGCUGAAAAGUUCAUAUAAAAGUUAAAAAAAUUACUUAGUUAUCUAUUGAAUACAUUUAUGCCUAAGCCCUAUCCUGAUUCAGUUCUCGUAGUGUGGGCUUUAUGACUUUUCAAAAGUUGUCCAGGUGACUCUAGCAAGUAUUCAAGGUUAAAAAUUUGCAUAGAACUCUAGAUAAUUUCUAAAGUUCAUUCUAGGUCUAACAUUAUCUAAUUAUAUUCAUUCCAACACUUUUGAAAUUGAUACUUUAUCCUAGUUUGGUUUUAUUCUUCUGUAUGGUAAAAAUAUUUCACUCUCGAGGGGAGUAAUCUUCAAAUCCAGAGCUAUCUCUGCCAUAAACUCAUGAUAAGGGAUUCACAGCACCUUCCUAACCUCCAGUUUCCUUAUCCAUGAGAUAAAAGAGAUAGACUCAAACUACAGUCAUUCACUAGAGCUUUAGCCCAGGGGAAGAUCAGAGAAGAUGGCUGGUAUAUCUGGCUACAGUCAAUCAUAGGUGAAAUGUACCUGUCCAUGCUCUCCCUGCCCUUUGUUCAGACUUGAGAAAGAAAGACAUUCAGAUGUUAGAUUCUCCAUCCACCCCUCACUCCAUGAAAUGACCUGCGUUGUCUCUUACUAGGAUUGUACGCUGGACUACCAUAGAUGGAAAUACUUCCUUUCAUUCACUUACUCAUCUCACUAUUUAUUCCACAUUUUUUGAGCAUUCACUAUAAGUUAGGUUUUUUUUCAAUUUGGACAGAAGGGGGAAAAAAUGAAAGAAAUUAACUUAAGGGCACUGGAUAUAAGUACCAUACAUAUACCACUACUUUGAACAUCAACAAAAAUAAAAUAAAAUACUGUAGCUAUAUCUGGUUCUCAGACAGAAACCAAAGGUCAGAGAGCUUGGGUGAUUUUUCCAAAGUUGAAAAUCAUCUAAGGGAAAAGCUGGGAUUGAACCAAAGUCUACCUUAUUCUUUAUACCUAGUAUAUCAGCAUCCCUACAGCCAUAGAGGAAUAGUCUUUACACUCUUUCUUCCUUUUUUUCUGUCUCUCUAUCCUUCUUUCCUUCUUUGUACCCACCCUCCCUCCCUCCCUGUGUCUUUUUCUCUAAAACCUUCAUCCAUUCUCUAAGCCCUAUCUACUCUGAAAACUUUCACUUCUGAACUCCAUCUGUUGAUGUUUCUCCAUUUUAUUUUAUUUUAUUUGUCUCUUUAGGGCCACACCCCAGCUUAGGGAGGUUCCCAGGCUAGAGGUCGAAUAGGAGCUGUAGCCACUGGCCUACACCACAGUCACAGCAAUGCCAGAUCUGAGCCGUGUCUGUGACCUACACCACAGCUCACAGCAACACUGGGUCCUUAGCCCUCUGAGGAGGGGUUAAGGAUCAGCUCCUUCACCUGUAUCGGGUUAGAGCCUGCAUCCUCACAGACUCUAGUCAGAUUCGUUUCCGAUCAGCCACGAUGGGAACCCCCCAUGUUUCUUUAAACUCUUUGUCUCCACAGGUCUCUCUUUUAUUUUUUUAUCAGAAACCAAUCCAACUAGUAUCCAUGAGGAUGUGUGUUCGAUCCCUGGCCUUGCUCAGUGGGUUAAUUAUCCGUUGUUGCCAUGAUCUGUGGUGUAGGUCACAGACAUGGCUUAGAUCAGUGUUGCUGAGGCUGUGGCAUAGGCCUACAGCUACAGAUCAGAUGCGACCCCUAGCCUGGGAAAUUCCAUAUGCUGCAGGUAUGGGC